rnacentral:rRNA from 1 species
ACACACCGCCCGUCACACCAUGGGAGUUGGUUCGACCUUGAGCCGGUGAGCGAACCGUAAGGACGCAGCCGACCACUGACGGGUCAGCGACUGGGGUGAAGUCGUAACAAGGUAGCCGUAGGUGUACCUGCGGCUGGUUCACCUCCUUU